UUAUUAUUAUCAUAUUCUAUUAGAUAAAAAGCUUAAAGAGAAUAGACAAACAACACAAGGUAUGAAGAAUGCUUCCUUGAUUCCAGCGGGCAAGCUUCCAUUACAUUCUACAUUCUUUAUUUAUACAUCACAUUUUGUACUGCCAUGACAGCUAUUACAUCAUUUGAUAAACGCUUCAGAUUUAUUCCCUAACGAGACAAUGGCUCAGACUUUGAAGCCCUUGCUUAAUGCUAGCUCUUCGUUUUCCAGCAGCUGCUUUAUCUUUAAAUAUUCUGAGAAAUAAGGCCAACACAAGAAAGCAUAAUUAAUUCAAUAUAGCUGCACAUAUCAUCCCAUGCUUACUCCUACCCUCCAAGUCCAAUGAUUCCAGCCUAUCCAGGAUUGAACACAACAAGAUGGAUUUUAUCCUUCUCCAUUUUGACAUUGCAUUCUUGAGACGCUUGUGAUUAUAUUUAUUCUGUGUUCAGAAAUGUAAUCCUGAAGCCUUGUUUUGCCAAGCACUGUUAAAGCUCCAUUAGAGGAAUAUAGUUACAUGGCUAGUUACGACCAUAACAUGUGGAUUGGCCAUUCUAACCUUGGUUUUUAGCUAUGCAAUUUCAAGUAACUACACCUUCAUGGGAAGUCUGCUUGGAGUAAGCCAAAUCUUCAAUAAGAGAGUGAUUAAUAAUAUAAAUAUUCUGGGAUCAAUUUAUCUAAAAUUAAAUUUUAGAGGAUGCAUGAUUAUCUUAUUGAAAAAUAAAUGAGAAAAAAUGACAAAACAAAAGAUAUGAAACUGUUUAUUGGGUAACAAAACAAAAGACAAUAUAAUGCUUACUAGUAACCAAAAUUCUGGAGAAAAUUGACAUUUAUUUAAGACAAAAAAGAAAAAGAAACAUCCAUCAACAUGCAGUAACUGAUAAAUCAUUGAAGCAUCAUUUUUGGGCAAUUUUAUUAAGAGCAUCCAAAGAUGAGUCUGAUUGCAAUUGCGCAAUGAAUGCGGUCUUCUUGUUAACAUUGAGUUGUAAGACUUCAACUUCUCUUAACAAAUUCAAAUACUCACUUGUCUUUUCUUUGUCCAUUAAUUUCAUCAUUUCCUUCAUAGCAUCCUCUUCCAUGAUCCCCAUAUUUUGUGCAUUAAAUUUGGCUAUUUCUUCCCAAAGCAGAUCAGUCAGAGCCUUAGCAGAAACAGAAGCAGAAUCAAAAUCUUGUUGUUCAGCCAUUAAUUAAUAUAUAAAGAUUUGGUGGUUUGAAGGAUAUCAGAAAAAGAGCUAUCUAGCUAAUUGUGAUGAGAAGUUGAAAAAUUUCUAUUAAUAACAAAUUGGGAAGA
rnacentral:lncRNA from 1 species